rnacentral:rRNA from 1 species
GAUGAACGCUGGCGGCGUGCCUAAUACAUGCAAGUCGAGCGAACAGACGAGGAGCUUGCUCCUCUGACGUUAGCGGCGGACGGGUGAGUAACACGUGGAUAACCUACCUAUAAGGCUGGGAUAACUUCGGGAAACCGGAGCUAAUACCGGAUAAUAUUUUGAACCGCAUGGUUCAAUAGUGAAAGACGGUCUUGCUGUCACUUAUAGAUGGAUCCGCGCCGCAUUAGCUAGUUGGUAAGGUAACGGCUUACCAAGGCAACGAUGCGUAGCCGACCUGAGAGGGUGAUCGGCUACACUGGAACUGAGACACGGUCCAGACUCCUACGGGAGGCAGCAGUAGGGAAUCUUCCGCAAUGGGCGAAAGCCUGACGGAGCAACGCCGCGUGAGUGAUGAAGGUCUUCGGAUCGUAAAACUCUGUUAUUAGGGAAGAACAAAUGUGUAAGUAACUAUGCACGUCUUGACGGUACCUAAUCAGAAAGCCACGGCUAACUACGUG